CCUGUUUACACUAGCCUCACAGACUUACCCGUUGCUUUUCUCAUGCAGAUGGCUCUAUGUAAGAAAACAUAUUUGUUUGUUAGAUACAAAUUUUAACUGCUUGGGGUCUCUCUCUCUCUAAAUAUGAUAUCUAGCCUAAUGUCACCUACUGACCCUAUCUAGCCUAAUUGUCACAGGACAACAUUUAUGUUUUCAUUUAAAAAUAAAGUAAACAGAUGGAACUUCUCUCAUCCAUACAGUAGUAAAUUAAAAACAAAAGUAGCAAUUUUUUAAAUGUUGCACUCCGCUGGGAUGAAAAUGCAGCAUUAUGACAUCUGGUCUAAUUUGAGUAUUCCAGUAGCUGCUGUAUAGCAUUUACUAAGACACUGAAGUGAAACCUGCUGCUGUUAUUUUUUGCAUAAUCCACGUGAAUAAGCAAACGCACCAAGACAGCCAGUGCUUCCCCACUUCUCAGUAAAAUUUAAAAGCCUGAUGCAGACUUUGCUAUUCAGCUGCUGUAUGUCAUAUAGUAGUCACUAUGGCUGAAACACUUAUCAUAGAAAGUCAAAACUCGUUUGCCUACCGUCAGCUUCAUCUGAAGAUUGCCUAUCCGUCCAUGAAGAUAAGGGGAGGCGGAACAGGAAGAGUCUCGCUUUUGUGGGGAGAAUCAGGCACCUAAGACCUGGAGUCCAAAGCCAGCAUGUGCAGAGAGCUAUUUAAAGUAGCCAUUUGGAAAUAUGACAGAUCAGGUAUGUCUUAAAUAAAUAACACCUCCUCCUGUGGACUUAAACGAGG
rnacentral:lncRNA from 1 species